GCUGGGCACGGUGGCGCGUGCCUGUAAUCCCAGCUACUCAGGAGGCUGAGGCAGGAGAAUUGCCUGAACCCAGGAGGCUGAGGCUGCAGUGAGCUGAGAUCACGCCAUUGCACUCCAGCCUGGGUAACAAGAGCGAAACUCUGUCUCAA
ensembl:misc_RNA Metazoa_SRP Metazoan signal recognition particle RNA